UACAUGGGGUGCAAACGUUGCUCGGAAUUAUUGGGCGUAAAGCGCACGUAGGCGGUUCGUUAAGUCGGAUGUGAAAGCCCUCGGCUCAACUGAGGAAGUGCACCCGAAACUGGCGAGCUUGAGUACGAAAGAGGAUCGCGGAAUUCCCGGUGUAGAGGUGAAAUUCGUAGAUAUCGGGAGGAACACCGGUGGCGAAGGCGGCGACCUGGUCCUUGACUGACGCUGAGGCGCGAAAGCGUGGGGAGGCAAACAGG
rnacentral:rRNA from 1 species